rnacentral:lncRNA from 1 species
CUAUCUGUUUUCUUGUGCCCUUUCUCUUCCCUACAGACCACUCUCCAUCCCUACAAAGCAUCUUCUUGUCUCCCUUUUCAUUCUUUGGGUCAUCACAUCUAUCCAUCUUCUCCCUCCCUCCCUCCCCUCCCUCCCUCCCUUCCUCUCUCUCUCUCCAUCUCUCUGUCUCUCUCUCUCCUCGUUCUCUGUAUCUCUGUCUCUCUCUGUCUCUGUCUCUCUCUGUCUCUCUCUGUCUCUGUCUCUCUCUGUCACUAUCUCUGUCUCUCCUCGUUCUCUGUCUCUCCUCGUUCUCUGUAUCUGUCUCUCCCUGUCACUAUCUGGCUGGGGGCCUUUCG